CAUUAGAUGUCUGAAAUGUAAGAAUUGAUUUUUUAAAUCAAUAAUAGUAAAAUAACUAAUACUUCUAAUGU
rnacentral:tRNA from 1 species